CCCUGCUUGGCCAGUGCUGAAAGUCAGCUGCAAACAGCCUAGUCUCCCCCCUCCCCUGCUUGGCCAGUGCUGAAAGUCAGGGCAGCCUCAUCGCCUCUUUUCAAAGCUCUCAAAGCACUUGUAGCUUAUAGUGUAUCUAGAACAUAAUGAAUACAAAAAAAGCAGCACAUAAAUAUAAAAAGAAGUUGUACAGUAGGACCUGAAGAACAAUAAUUGACGUCGACCUGAAAUCCAAAAGAUCAGAGUAUAAAGACAAAGUAUUAAUCCACCACUGCUCCACUUAACUGCUGAGCCUGUUCAAAAACGGAUUCCAACAUUCCCUUAAGGAAGCAGUAAAUCUCUCACUAGUUUUCAGAAAGUCCCUACAUGGCAUGUCAGUGCAAUCUGCGCUGUAAAUUUGGUCCAAACUCAACAUGCAAGACAAUGCCACUUUAAGCUACGGGCUUGUAACCAAGAGGUCCCCGGUUCAAAUCCCACCUCAGCCACUGACUCAUUGUAUGACCCUGAGCAAGUCACUUAACCUCCUUGUGCUCUGUCUUUCGGGUGAGACGUAGUUGUAAGUGACUCUGCAGCUGAUGCAUAUUUCACACACCCUAGUCUCUGUAAGUCGCCUUGGAUAAAGGCGUCUGCUAAAUAAACAAAUAAUAAUAAUAAUAAUAAUAAUGAACACAAGUUCCCAGCUCUGCCAUGGACCGUGUCACCUCUUGCAAUAUUUUUUUAAAAUGUUAACAAUACCACCUUCCUGAGACAUAUAAACCUGAUAUUUUGUGAACCUAUUUCCUUUGUAUUUUGACCAUGUUUUUUAUAAAAUCACCCCUGGGAGAAAUCAUUAUAAAGAUUACUAUAGAGUUAAAGGGCAGCAGUAUUUUACAGUAGAUCACUCAAAUAGACCCCACUGAAUUCUGGUUAUACUUGGUACAUCAUAAUCACUAAAUCAAAAAGCAUGCCUGUGCAUAAUGGAAACAAGCACCCAUUAAUCAACAAUCUGGGUUUCUGAUAAGCUCUUCAAAAUCAUAAACAUUAUGGUGUUAGUUAAGCAUUCUUCUUUAGCUCGAACCAUCUGUAUCCAUCCACUGACCAAGGAUGUUUCCUGAGCAUUGAGGUUUAACAUAAUCUUGUUAUUUCUCCAAGAAAUCAUUGAGUUUGGGUCUAAACUUCCUGCUCUACCCUAAACUAUGCUGUAUAUCAAUACCAGGUCCUCACUAAACAUGUGUGGAGGUCAACAUUAGUAAAUCUAAAAUCCUUGGGGGACACAGGGUGAUACAAUUUCCACCUUGUUUCUCAACCAAUUAAAACACUAUCCUACUACAAAACUCGUAGACUGCUCCUUCAUCAGUCAUGUACAGUAGGUCACAAAUGCCUCAGAUUUGUAAGGUUGGUUAAAGUGGCUGCAAUACCCAACAAACGAGGGAACUAGACAUCAGAAUAGCAAGUGUACAGUUUGUCUGGAGAUAGCACUGAAUGACUGAUUUUGCCAGACCGAUCUCCGAUUAAAUCAAAGUAUUCAAAAACAGUGCAAUGAAAAUAACUAAUUCCUGUGUUUGUGUGCUUUUCAUUUUGACUGAGAAUAUGCUACACAUGCACUUGUUUCUUUCUUAUAAUCCUACAAGAGAAGCAACCACAUUCAAACUCUGGGCCCUACAGUAUUUAGUAAUGGUUGCAAGGACAAAGGCAAAUUUACACAUAUUCAUGCUAUAAAACUAGUAAUAAACAACUUAGUUGCAGCUUGGAGCAUGUACAUUAUAGUUCACAUUGCUUUAUUCCUUUCAGAAAAUGUCCCUUUGUACUUGUUGCUUAAAAUAACCUGUUGGGUAAUAUAAUUGAGUCAUGAAAUUGAAAAGAAAUUGAAUACUGGUAUUUUAAAAUGGAACAAUAAGUAACUAAUUAACAUGAAGUUAUUGAACACUUGACAUGCAAUGUUAAUGUUUAACCACUUCCCUGCUGCAAUAACAAAUUAGGACUCUCACUUGUCCUAGUUGCUACACUAUUUUGAUAGAUGCAGUCAUUCAAGAACUGUGCUGUUUACUUCAAUGAACUCCUACCUCUGAACUUUUUUUCACUGACACAGGAUCACAAGAAAUGAUACAGUACAUUAUCAGUUACCCUUCUUAGUCACCCCAUCUUGAGAAUGUUCUGUCUGCUGAUACGGUUCCUGUUUCUUUAAAGCGAUAGGUUUGGGAGAACACAGACCCUGUGCUUGCUCUGCCCACUCAGCAUGUCUCGCUGUUCUUGAUCAGAUAAAGAGACAACACAUGCAUUUUUGAUACUGCUGUUUUAUCUCCUUUGUAAAAGGAUUAUGAAUAUUAUUUCGAUCUAAAAUAAAGUGGACUAUAAUUGUAGCCCUGUCUCAGGUGUGGCUCUUUUGGAAAAGGAUCCAACCACACUGAAGGUCUGGGUCCUCACUUUCAGAUCCUCACACCUAGUAUGGCAAAGGGCUGUUAACCUAGUAAUGGCUUCAAUCAAACGGCAUGGUAAAUAAGAAAAGCAGAAUUGUAAACCUGGUUGCUUUUCUGCAAAGGAGAAUCCGCCCCUAACCUACACGUCAUCAACAAGUGCAUAAUGCUCAGUGUGUUCUUCUUUCAUUUCGCUUCUUUUUUGUUGUUUCGGCAGCUCAGUCAAGCGCUGGGAGGCCGAAACGGGAGUUGACCGCUUAGAGCCUGAAGGAAGGGCUGCCCUCAGCCACGGAUUUCCUGAGGUUUCCCCCUAAAAAAUUAAAAAUAUAAACUUGAAACUUUGGGAAACCUUGGUGGAUUACCGCAGUGAGGAAAACUCAGGACAAGUCAUUAAUCUGUGGAAGGGAGCCAAGAGGCGGUGAGAGGAAACCCACUGCAGUAGCACGGAGAAACCCAGUGCUUCCUUUGUUGUUUUUGUAACCCCGAUGUUUUUGUUUACUCUUUUUAUUUGAAACCUGAGUUUACCAUUGCUGGUAUUCCAGGUGGUUUUCUUGUUUAUUUUCUGCAAUACUGGACUGUUUUAUUUUAUUUUCAUUGUUUGUUAAAAUAAAAUCCUGCCCCGAUACCAUUGUUGGUACAGGGCCCCAGGACUAAACGUCA